GACGAACGCUGGCGGCGUGCUUAACACAUGCAAGUCGAACGAAGUGGCGAACGGGGGAGUAACGCGUAAUCAACCUGCACUUCAGAGGGGGACAACAGUUGGAAACGACUGCUACUACCGCAUACUGAAGGAUGGGGUUGCGUCUGAUUAGCUAGUUGGAGGGGUAACGGCCCGCCAAGGCGAUGAUCAGGAGCCGGUCUGAGAGAAUGAACGGCCACAUUGGGACUGAGACACGGCCCAGCUGCCUACGGGAGGCAGCAGUGGGGAAUCUUCCGCAAUGGACGAAAGUCUGACGGAGCAACGCCGCGUGAGUGAUGACGGCCUUCGGGUUGUAAAGCUCUGUUAAUCGGGACGCGGUACCGGAAUAGAAAGCCACGGCUAACUACGUGCCAGCAGCCGCGGUAAUAC
rnacentral:rRNA from 1 species